rnacentral:rRNA from 1 species
UACGGGGGGAGCAAGCGCUGUUCGGAUUUACUGGGCGUAAAGGGCGCGUAGGCGGCGCGACAAGUCACUUGUGAAAUCUCUGGGCUCAACCCAGAACGGUCAAGUGAUACUGUCGUGCUAGAGUGCGGAAGGGGCAACUGGAAUUCUUGGUGUAGCGGUGAAAUGCGUAGAUAUCAAGAGGAACACCUGCGGCGAAGGCGGGUUGCUGGGCCGACCCUGACGCUGAGGCGCGAAAGCUAGGGGGGCGAACGGG